CUACGGGUUGCUCCAGUAGGGAAUAUUGGACAAUGGGCGAAAGCCUGAUCCAGCAAUGCCGCGUGUGUGAAGAAGGCCUGCGGGUUGUAAAGCACUUUCAGUUGGGAAGAAAAGCUUAAGGUUAAUAUCUUUAAGUCUUGACGUUAUCAACAGAAGAAGCACCGGCUAACUCUGUGCCAGCAGCCGCGGUAAUACAGAGGGUGCGAGCGUUAAUCGGAAUUACUGUGCGUAAAGGGUAUGUAGGCGGUUAUAUCAGUCGGAUGUGAAAGCCCAAGGCUUAACCUUGGAAUUGCAUUCGAUACUAUAUGACUAGAGUACAGUAGAGGAAGGUGGAAUUCCUAGUGUAGCGGUGAAAUGCGUAGAUAUUAGGAGGAACAUCAGUGGCGAAGGCGACCUUCUGGACUGAUACUGACGCUGAGGUACGAAAGCGUGGGGAGCAAACAGGAUUAGAUACCCCUGUAGUC
rnacentral:rRNA from 1 species